GGUCACUGGCAAAGCCGCUGCUGUGGCAAAGCUGGAGUGCGGGCUCUAGGAGGGAGAUUGUUAUUAGUUUGUGGAACGUUCUUCCAGGUGCUGGUGUGGUGUGCGCUGUGUCCCAGGGAAACGGGGGGCAGAGGGGAGGUGGAAAGCGGCCCCAGCCCGGCUCCGCCACACAGACACCAGGGAGGGGUCAGGACUGUGUCACAGCUUCAGGUGUUUCCACCAGGAAACGUUCCCCCUUUCCCCAAAUGCCAGAGGAAAGGUUUCGCUUUGACGGAUGCUACCUCCGGCUUGUGUUCCUGGAGCUGCCCCCCAGUUCCCUGCCCUGCCUUCUCCUGGUGCUGGGUGGGGACAGCUGCAAUUUGCAAUAUUGGAUUUGUCAGACUUUGCUUUUUUUUUAAAAAAAGCAGUAGCCAUUUAUUCACAAACGCACUCCGUACAUACACUGUGCUGUCUUUACAUAAAAUACAUUGCUAUGUGUACAGUUACCUUUUCCUUUGCCCAGCUAACGCUGUAUAUUUGUUUAAAAAAUAUAGCAUCACUCUGACAGUAGCCUUGCACUUCCCUUUAUAUUUGAAAGGACGCCGGGGUUACUCACAGACAGCAAAAAGCAAAACGAUCCCUGCUGCAUCCACCAGAACUGACUGCGAGGAGGGGACGAUGCACGGUCUGAGACACUGUGUUCACCAUAAAUUAGCCCCCAAAUUAAUAUUGUGUAUGGACAGGAGGGGAAACCUUCGCUCCCCCUGCCCCCACACACUUCCUGGGAGGGUCUCCAACAGCCGCUUCGCUCGGCUCUGGCUAAACAAAGCAAACCCCUUCUCCUGCUUCCAGCCCUUUCCACUGGAUUUAGCAGCUUUCCAGGGAGACAGUGAGAACGUGGAGCCACAUUUCCUCUGGCUGAGUCUCAGCAUCGAAGCACUUUCCUCACUAAAGCCCUCUCAGGUGGGACCGGGAGCACUGGGCCAAGGGCAAGUGUUCAGAGCUGACCAGAAAGCCUUUUUUUUUUUUUUUCUUUUUUUUUUUUUUAGCAGAACAUGCAAAAACAGCCACUCUAUACUUUUAUCACAGGUAAGCUUUUACACGGUGCUGCUAAUAUGA
rnacentral:lncRNA from 1 species